rnacentral:rRNA from 1 species
UUGGAGGGCAAGUCUGGUGCCAGCAGCCGCGGUAAUUCCAGCUCCAAUAGCGUAUAUUAAAGUUGUUGCAGUUAAAAAGCUCGUAGUUGAACUUCGGGGUUCACCCAUUGGUCAGGCUUAAUUGUCUGUACUGGUGAGAUGAAUCUCUACCUUCUGAGGAACUUUCAUGCCAUUUAUUUGGUGUGAUGGGAAAUCAGGACUGUUACUUUGAAAAAAUUAGAGUGUUUAAAGCAAGCUAACGCUUGAAUACAUUAGCAUGGAAUAAUGAAAUAGGACGUUCGAUCCUAUUUUGUUGGUUUCUAGGAUUGACGUAAUGAUUAAUAGGGAUAGUUGGGGGCAUUAGUAUUCAAUUGUCAGAGGUGAAAUUCUUGGAUUUAUUGAAGACUAACUACUGCGAAAGCAUUUGCCAAGGAUGUUUUCAUUAAUCAAGAACGAAAGUUAGGGGAUCGAAGACGAUCAGAUACCGUCGUAGUCUUAACCAUAAACUAUGCCGACUAGGGAUCGGAUGAUGUUAAUUUUUUAAUGACUCAUUCGGCGCCUUACGGGAAAC